UGUCUCCUCCAUCUCCUCAAAGGAUGGAUUGAGCCCCGGACCGCAAGGUCCGGGGCUCUUUUU
rnacentral:ncRNA from 1 species